rnacentral:ncRNA from 1 species
AAGAUGGUGAACUAUGCCGGGGCAGGGCGAAGCCAGAGGAAACUCUGGUGGAGGUCCGUAGCGGUCCUGACGUGCAAAUCGGUCGUCCAACCUAGGUAUAGGGGCAAAAGACUAAUCGAACCAUCUAGUAG